CGUGUAGGCGGAUUGAUAAGUCAGAGGUGAAAUCCCACAGCUUAACUGUGGAACUGCCUUUGAAACUGUUAGUCUUGAGUUAUAUGGAAGUAGAUAGAAUGUGUAGUGUAGCGGUGAAAUGCAUAGAGAUUACACAGAAUACCGAUUGCGAAGGCAGUCUACUACGUAUAUACUGACGCUAAUGGACGAAAGCGUGGGGAGCGAACAGGAUUAGAUACCCUGGUAGUCC
rnacentral:rRNA from 1 species